rnacentral:rRNA from 1 species
UACGUAGGGGGCAAGCGUUGUCCGGAUUUAUUGGGCGUAAAGAGCUCGUAGGCGGUGUGUCGCGUCGGCCGUGAAAACCUGGGGCUCAACUCUGGGCGUGCGGUCGAUACGGGCAUCACUUGAGUUCGGCAGGGGAGACUGGAAUUCCUGGUGUAGCGGUGAAAUGCGCAGAUAUCAGGAGGAACACCGGUGGCGAAGGCGGGUCUCUGGGCCGAUACUGACGCUGAGGAGCGAAAGCGUGGGGAGCAAACAGG